CCUAACACAUGCAAGUCGAGCGGAAACGAGUUAUCUGAACCUUCGGGGAACGAUAACGGCGUCGAGCGGCGGACGGGUGAGUAAUGCCUAGGAAAUUGCCCUGAUGUGGGGGAUAACCAUUGGAAACGAUGGCUAAUACCGCAUGAUGCCUACGGGCCAAAGAGGGGGACCUUCGGGCCUCUCGCGUCAGGAUAUGCCUAGGUGGGAUUAGCUAGUUGGUGAGGUAAGGGCUCACCAAGGCGACGAUCCCUAGCUGGUCUGAGAGGAUGAUCAGCCACACUGGAACUGAGACACGGUCCAGACUCCUACGGGAGGCAGCAGUGGGGAAUAUUGCACAAUGGGCGCAAGCCUGAUGCAGCCAUGCCGCGUGUGUGAAGAAGGCCUUCGGGUUGUAAAGCACUUUCAGUCGUGAGGAAGGUAGUGUAGUUAAUAGCUGCAUUAUUUGACGUUAGCGACAGAAGAAGCACCGGCUAACUCCGUGCCAGCAGCCGCGGUAAUACGGAGGGUGCGAGCGUUAAUCGGAAUUACUGGGCGUAAAGCGCAUGCAGGUGGUUUGUUAAGUCAGAUGUGAAAGCCCGGGGCUCAACCUCGGAAUAGCAUUUGAAACUGGCAGACUAGAGUACUGUAGAGGGGGGUAGAAUUUCAGGUGUAGCGGUGAAAUGCGUAGAGAUCUGAAGGAAUACCGGUGGCGAAGGCGGCCCCCUGGACAGAUACUGACACUCAGAUGCGAAAGCGUGGGGAGCAAACAGGAUUAGAUACCCUGGUAGUCCACGCCGUAAACGAUGUCUACUUGGAGGUUGUGGCCUUGAGCCGUGGCUUUCGGAGCUAACGCGUUAAGUAGACCGCCUGGGGAGUACGGUCGCAAGAUUAAAACUCAAAUGAAUUGACGGGGGCCCGCACAAGCGGUGGAGCAUGUGGUUUAAUUCGAUGCAACGCGAAGAACCUUACCUACUCUUGACAUCCAGAGAACUUUCCAGAGAUGGAUUGGUGCCUUCGGGAACUCUGAGACAGGUGCUGCAUGGCUGUCGUCAGCUCGUGUUGUGAAAUGUUGGGUUAAGUCCCGCAACGAGCGCAACCCUUAUCCUUGUUUGCCAGCGAGUAAUGUCGGGAACUCCAGGGAGACUGCCGGUGAUAAACCGGAGGAAGGUGGGGACGACGUCAAGUCAUCAUGGCCCUUACGAGUAGGGCUACACACGUGCUACAAUGGCGCAUACAGAGGGCGGCCAACUUGCGAAAGUGAGCGAAUCCCAAAAAGUGCGUCGUAGUCCGGAUUGGAGUCUGCAACUCGACUCCAUGAAGUCGGAAUCGCUAGUAAUCGUGGAUCAGAAUGCCACGGUGAAUACGUUCCCGGGCCUUGUACACACCGCCCGUCACACCAUGGGAGUGGGCUGCAAAAGAAGUAGGUAGUUUAACCUUCGGGGGGACGCUUACC
rnacentral:rRNA from 1 species